rnacentral:tmRNA from 1 species
GGGGGCGACUGGUUUCGACGUUUAAGUUGAAGCUGUAGUGGCGCGUCGAGGAUCUCGGUUGGCCUCGUAAAAAAACCGGGAAACAACAUAAAAGCCAACGAUAACUUGGCCCUCGCGGCGUAACACCCGCGACGUUUCAUCGCUGACACCUGCUAGGUGAAUGAAACGACGACAGCAAGGUAGUUUCAGGGUUGGGUGACCGGGCCCCGAAGCGAAACUUUUCGUGGACACUGGUCGGAUCAAUAGCCUGUCUAUCGGCGCUUGAUCGGAUAAGAUUAAAAGAUAGAACACACGCGUAGAAGCUGGAGUGACGCUUAUACGGACGGGGGUUCGAUUCCCCCCGCCUCCACCA